AAAAACUUAGUUAAUUUUAUAACUUUAGCUUGUCAUGCUAAAAUAGCUCACUAGAGCAGUUUUUG
rnacentral:tRNA from 1 species